UACGUAGGGGGCAAGCGUUGUCCGGAAUCAUUGGGCGUAAAGAGCGUGUAGGCGGCCAGGUAGGUCUGGUGUGAAAACUCGAGGCUUAACCUUGAGAUGUCAUCGGAAACCAUUUGGCUAGAGUCCGGAAGAGGAAAGUGGAAUUCCUGGUGUAGCGGUGAAAUGCGCAGAUAUCAGGAAGAACACCAAUGGCGAAAGCAGCUUUCUGGGACGGUACUGACGCUGAGACGCGAAAGCGUGGGGAGCGAACAGG
rnacentral:rRNA from 1 species